rnacentral:rRNA from 1 species
UACAGAGGUCUCAAGCGUUGUUCGGAAUUACUGGGCGUAAAGGGUCUGUAGGUGGCCAACUAAGUCAGACGUGAAAUCCCUCAGCUUAACUGGGGAACUGCGUCUGAUACUGGAUGGCUUGAGUGCAGGAGAGGAAUGCGGAAUUCCAGGUGUAGCGGUGAAAUGCGUAGAGAUCCGAAGGAACACCAAAGGCGAAGGCAGUGUCCUGGGGAGUACCUGACGCUCAGGUGCGAAAGCCAGGGGAGCGAACGGG